GACGAACCGUACGAACGUUAUUCGGAAUCACUGGGCUUAAAGGGUGCGUAGGCGGUGUGGAAAGUUGGGUGUGAAAUACCUCGGCUUAACCGAGGAACUGCAUUCAAAACUACCAUGCUAGAGGGAGACAGAGGUAAGCGGAACUUAGGGUGGAGCGGUGAAAUGCGUUGAUAUCCUAAGGAACACCGGUGGCGAAAGCGGCUUACUGGGUCUCUUCUGACGCUGAGGCACGAAAGCUAGGGUAGCGAACGGG
rnacentral:rRNA from 1 species